rnacentral:tRNA from 1 species
GAAUAGAUAAUUUACUAUAAAAUAUAACACUGAAAAUGUUAAAAAGGCUAAAAGCCUCUCUUCA